rnacentral:rRNA from 1 species
UGGGGAAUAUUGGACAAUGGGCGAAAGCCUGAUCCAGCCAUGCCGCGUGAGUGACGAAGGCCUUAGGGUUGUAAAACUCUUUCGUCGGGGACGAUAAUGACGGUACCCGAAGAAGAAGCUCCGGCUAACUUCGUGCCAGCAGCCGCGGUAAUACGAAGGGAGCUAGCGUUGUUCGGAAUCACUGGGCGUAAAGCGCACGUAGGCGGAUAGUUAAGUCAGGGGUGAAAGCCCGAGGCUCAACCUCGGAAUUGCCUCUGAUACUGGCUGUCUAGAGUUCGAGAGAGGUGAGUGGAAUUCCUAGUGUAGAGGUGAAAUUCGUAGAUAUUAGGAAGAACACCGGUGGCGAAGGCGGCUCACUGGCUCGAUACUGACACUGAGGUGCGAAAGCGUGGGGAGCAAACAGGAUUAGAUACCCCGGUAGUCCCUGAGCGGGCUGGCAAGGCGCAU